GGGAACUCCACCUACUGCCUGUUGACCAAGCAUUAAAUAUUUUGGAGGUUCAAAAGCCUCUGAGCUUGUCAUAAUGGGCUUGCUUUCAGACCUCAAAAUCCCAGUACACCCUGAAACUAUGAUGCAGACAUUCAGAGGCAGCAGCACAAGAUUGCAGUUUUGGAACACUGAGCAAAGAAUUACCCAUCUGGGAUAUCAUUCUCCUCCGGGAAAGGGUCUCCAAUCACCUCUCAUAAGGAGACAUGUCCUGCUGCCUCACUGCGGUGGCCUCAGGGGUAAGGAAUCAGAACCCACCCAGUGUGAAGAAUAAACCUGGACUCUCGGCAACACAGGAAGAAAAAGCCUACAGUACAGAUACCACGGCGACAAGGACUCAAGGCCUCCUAGCGAGAUUACAUCCUUGUCAAAGGUUGGAAAGAGGGAAAGCUCAAACCCACCUGGGAAGGACCUUACCUGGUACUCCUAACAACUGAAAUAGCACUCCGGAAAGCCGAAAAAGGGUGAACCCACCACACAAGUGAAGAAGGCCCCACCUCUGGCAAAGUCAUGGACCAUCACUCCAGGACCAACAGCCUCAAAACUAACAUUCAAACGGGUACAGGAAUCGACCGACUCCUGGAAACAUCACACUCAAGUCAAAGCCUGGAGAGCUGAGGGAGCAACCCCCAACAGCCCAGAGGAACG
rnacentral:lncRNA from 1 species